UACGAAGGGUGCAAGCGUUAAUCGGAAUUACUGGGCGUAAAGCGCGCGUAGGUGGUUCAGGAAGUUGGAAGUGAAAUCCCCGGGCUCAACCUGGGAACUGCUUUCAAAACUGCUGAGCUAGAGUACGGUAGAGGGUGGUGGAAUUUCCUGUGUAGCGGUGAAAUGCGUAGAUAUAGGAAGGAACACCAGUGGCGAAGGCGACCACCUGGACUGAUACUGACACUGAGGUGCGAAAGCGUGGGGAGCAAACAGG
rnacentral:rRNA from 1 species